CUCAACCGCAAGGAGGGGGAUGCCUAAGGCAGGGCUAGUGACUGGGGUGGAGUCGUAACAAGGUAGCCGUACCGGAAGGUGUGGCUGGAUCACCUCCUUAAAGGGAGACCUAAUUCGGGUAUAAGACGAAAAAAUAGUAGUCGAAACCAAGAAUCAAUCCCAAAAGGUCGGAGCGAGGCGAAAUUGGCUUUCAAACUAGGUUCUGGGUUCAAACAAGACCUGAAUCAGGAACAAGGGCUAUUAGCUCAGGUGGUUAGAGCGCACCCCUGAUAAGGGUGAGGUCCCUGGUUCGAGUCCAGGAUGGCCCACCUGCACAGGUGGCAAAAACAAAGAAAAGAAGCUCCGAAUCAGCACCUUAUCUUACUUAUAUAUAGUAAGAGAGAAUGCUGGCUCUGAGUUCAGAGUCCAGAGGAACCUUGAAAACUGCAUAGAGCUAGGUGAAAAAGCCAAAAAAGAAGACCGCAAGGUCAAGCUAAUAAGGGCUAACGGUG
rnacentral:misc_RNA from 1 species